GGAAAAAAAGAAAAACGGAAGGAGUCCACAGUGGUGACGGGUGAGUCUCACAGGGUGACGGGGGAAGGUGGGACUCUGUUAUUCCUGAAAUCUACAUCUAUCUACGUGAAAUCUACGUGGUCUCCAGGGAGGUGUUGAUGUCUGAACACCGGAGACAGCUGGUCAGCACAAUGCAUGCACACAACUAUUCUUGCAAGCCGAAAAUAGCGACUCUUUGGGUGAAUAAUUCAUCCAUUUAUCCAUUCAAUGGUUUAUUUUAUGUUAUAUAUAUAAUGAUUUAGAAUAUAAACCGGAAAAUGGGUUUGUUGUAUCUUUUAGUGUUUCCGAAAAAACAAUUAAUGAAUCUCUCUGGGAAGCAUAAACAUAACUGUAUCUUUUUAUAUUAAAGGGGAAAUUGGUGUCCACAAAUAGAAUUGUCAAACAUCCAAAAAGAUCUGAACAGGACAUUAAGUCCUACUGUGAAGUGCCCGUUUUCUAUCAGAGAUCGAUCUAGGGAAAUAACCUUUUGAGGAAAAAAUGAUUACAUUCUUUACAUGUGUACUUCCACCGUGUGGAUUUCAUCAGGACAGAAUCUCAAUGAGCUGCUUAAGUCAGUCUAAACGCAGGAGACGGGUCGAUAUGAGAAACUCGAUCACAACACGUCCACCUUUUGAAAUAAGUUUGCAUGCAAUAUAAUGAGGCCGCAUAUGGCUGCUGACGCCUACGAGACACUUAGUAAUAUAAAUGUCACGCAGAAGGGCAGCAGCGGAGGAAAAGGGCAAAACACUUUUCUAAUUGCUGUAAUUUGGACAAGCAACUUCAAGAUUUCCCAAUCUCGCCUUUGAGAAUACUCUCGCGUGAAAGAAGCCUUUGAGGAAACAAGUACGGGAGCCCCUGAGGCUCAAAAGUAGCCGGCGUUGGGGCGGAUUUGGAGCCCCGUCCCUCAUGUGCACUGGAGUCAGUCUGGACACAGCUGCAGAAUUGGAUUUGUUAAGAACAAGAAAACCCGAUGAAAACAACCCUUCCAUUAUUUCCCACGUAGCCAUGCGAACACGAGCGCGGUCUUCGUGACCUAAUGCCUCCUGCUGCCACACUGGGCAUCUAUAAUUUAAUAUGAUAUUUACAUAUGAUACUUAUAUUUGCACUCUCCUCCCGUUCCGUUGCAACCGCUGCACAGAAAUCAUGAAUAAAGUUUUUAUUUCAUCUCAUCAAAACCCAGAGAGGGAACCUCUAGACUGCAGCCAGCUGGGUUCCCAGAUUCGACAACACUAAACCGAAUGCUUCCAAUUCCAAAAUGUGUGGAUCUGUGGACUGUGACGUCAGCCCACCAAGGCCUUUUUUAACCUUGUCGUCUCAGCGACAUGAAUAACUAUCAUGAAUCUUCCUAAUUUACAUUUGAGAAGUGUGUUCAUUGUUUCAUGUUAAUGUGCAUAAUUCAGAAACAUCGCAACAAGCGAGCAAGAGACGGCAGAGGGUGACUCGGUGUCGUAAACAGAUUAGCCAGAGGAAAAGUUUUGGGUUUAAUCAUAAUUGAGAAGAAGUCACAGCGCCGUUAAAUUGCUAAAAUUUGAAGUGUCUCUGAGGAGGUUUGUUCCAUAAAAUCAUCUCACUUCCAGGCUAAUGUUGGUGCUCAUAGUUCUUCUUGGAGCAUUAUCAGGCACGAAAUAUGAAUGUUACGCAAACAAUGUAACAUAAGAAUAGAAACCAUCCCCGACUCGAUCACAGGUCCUGUUUGUUCCAGUCCCACUUUGUACAAAGCUUGAUAUUUUAAUAACGACAAGUAAGCAUGGCGAUGUCGUAUAGCCUGCUAAAUAACGUGUAGAUUGUGGAGUUUUUUGUUGACUCCGUCCACUCUCCUCCCAGCAAAAAGUCGAGAGCUGAUGAGACGCAUCCAGUUCAGCUUCACGUCAGCCACGCUGACAUGAACCCAACUUCAGUUCAGAAGGAAAGUGAGACACUUCUAGCAGCAGUUAAGGUUAUUCAUGCAUCAAGUUCUGCGCUUGUGUCCAGAAAUACGACCGUAAACCAGAGAAGAAAACACCAAACCCGCAGCUCCACCAGAUUAAUGCCUCUUUCCUUUUGUACUUUAUUUAACAGACUCUCGCCCACAGCGCUCUCUGCUAUCAGUGUGCUCUGGCUGUUGAAGAUGAGGGAUGAACCUUGACAAAGGGCAUGCUGCGACUCGAUGCAUCGUUGGGGAUCCAUCAGAGAAAAGCCAGAGCGGCUUUAAGAGCCGAGCAGCUACUCCGUCCUGAUUCAAACCCUGAUUCAAACUGCUGAAGCCUGGAGGAGGACAAGCGAACCCCCCCCCUCCCCCCCAGGGCGGUUCAGUAUUCACGCGCUCUUUUCCUCUUGUUUGUGGACGGCAUCAGAACAAAAGGGAGAACAUUUGGUUUGAAUUAUUCCACCUGUGUUUUGUUGCGUGCAUGCGUUCCCUCUCCAGCUCCACUCUCAGCAGAGAGGCGGAUGACAAUGCGACGGUAAUAACCUUGUAACAUUCCCCUGGAUCACUUAAAGCGAUCUCGCACGCAGGGAGGGAUGCUUUUAUUUGCAUAAUGCAACAAUACAAGAAUAAAAAAUAAAAUGCAUUCUAUUUGCUUUGUGAA